GAUCCCGUAGCUCAGCUGGCAGAGCAUCUGACUUUUAAUCAGAGGGUCCCAGGUUCGAAUCCUGGCGGGAUCACCA
rnacentral:tRNA from 2 species